CUCACAGAUAGGAGAGGUGCCCAUUUAAUCUAGAGCAGCCCUGAAGGGGCUGGAUAUAUUUCUCAAGAGUAAAACCAGCUCCGUCCAAACAUUGCACCAUCUUCUGUGCAGCAUCUGACAAAAUAUUUUGACUUACUUCAGGGUGAAGACUGGUUUCCAUGAUGGAGGCCCCCUGAGGCAGAAGCAGAGAUGGAUCACCCAUUUGAUACUUCGGGCUGAAUGAGGGACUUGGAGAUCCCUGAACUGAGGAGGCAGAUAAGCAUCAUGAUCUAUAUCAUGACAGACCUGGAGCGGUUGGCAGCAUGAUUACUUAUUUUUGAAAGAAGGAUCAACUCGCUCUCACUUUUUGAUGGCAGUGAAAGCCUGUCGGUACUCAAGUCAGGGGACCCGGAGAAGCGAUGCGGCAGGCUGCUGAUCUCCCACUCGCAUUGUUGCAGGAGCGAUCUCUCUCUCUCUCUGUCUUCCUUACUAGUGAGAAGGAGCCUGUCUGAGAUACCAAAGUGUUGGGUUACGGAUUGUAGUUUUUUUGCUGGACUUUAGAUCGAGGUCUCUGUUGGAGCUUUUGCUUUGCUUGUAUGGUAGGCAGAGGAGGAGGGGCUGGUGC